rnacentral:tRNA from 1 species
GGGGUUGUAGCUCAGUUGGUUAGAGCACUUGCUUUGCAAGCAAGGGGUCGUGGUUUCGAGUACCACCAGCUCCA